rnacentral:rRNA from 1 species
CCUUAUAGUGGGGGAUAGCCUUUCGAAAGGAAGAUUAAUACCGCAUAAGAUUGUAGUAUCGCAUGAUAUAGCAAUUAAAGGAGCAAUCCGCUAUAAGAUGGACCCGCGUCGCAUUAGCUAGUUGGUGAGGUAAUGGCUCACCAAGGCGACGAUGCGUAGCCGACCUGAGAGGGUGAUCGGCCACAUUGGGACUGAGACACGGCCCAGACUCCUACGGGAGGCAGCAUG